rnacentral:rRNA from 1 species
CUACGGAGGAUCCGAGCGUUAUCCGGAUUUAUUGGGUUUAAAGGGAGCGUAGGUGGACAGUUAAGUCAGUUGUGAAAGUUUGCGGCUCAACCGUAAAAUUGCAGUUGAUACUGGCUGUCUUGAGUACAGUAGAGGUGGGCGGAAUUCGUGGUGUAGCGGUGAAAUGCUUAGAUAUCACGAAGAACUCCGAUUGCGAAGGCUGCUCACUGGACUGCAACUGACACUGAUGCUCGAAAGUGUGGGUAUCAAACAGGAUUAGAUACCCUGGUAGUCCACACAGUAAACGAUGAAUACUCGCUGUUUGCGAUAUACAGUAAGCGGCCAAGCGAAAGCAUUAAGUAUUCCACCUGGGGAGUACGCCGGCAACGGUGAAACUUAAAGGAAUUGACGGGG